rnacentral:rRNA from 1 species
GAGUUUGAUCUUGGCUCAGAUUGAACGCUGGCGGCAUGCCUUACACAUGCAAGUCGAACGGCAGCACGGGAGCUUGCUCCUGGUGGCGAGUGGCGAACGGGUGAGUAAUGCAUCGGAACGUAUCCUGGAGUGGGGGAUAACGUAGCGAAAGUUACGCUAAUACCGCAUAUUCUGUGAGCAGGAAAGCGGGGGACCUUCGGGCCUCGCGCUCUUGGAGCGGCCGAUGUCGGAUUAGCUAGUUGGUGAGGUAAAGGCUCACCAAGGCGACGAUCCGUAGCAGGUCUGAGAGGAUGAUCUGCCACACUGGAACUGAGACACGGUCCAGACUCCUACGGGGGGCAGCAGUGGGGAAUUUUUGGACAAUGGGGGCAACCCUGAUCCAGCCAUGCCGCGUGAGUGAAGAAGGCCUCGG